rnacentral:lncRNA from 1 species
GCAUGAAACAUAUAUACUUAAAAUAAAUGCUUAGGAAAACAUUAAUAACAUGACAUGAUCCAUAACAGGAUUAGGACAGGUUACUUACUUUCUUCACAAAUCAUGUAUGCAAUUCAAAUUGUAUAAAAAAAAUACUGGUUCAUCUUAUAAAACGUAAUACAAGAUCUACGAUAGGAUUAAGACAGAUUACUUACAAUAAGUAGUAUUUAAAUUUCUUGGAUCCGGACGACGAGUCUUUAAUUCCUGGAACCAUUUAUAAGACUCACAUUAUCAUAAAUUUUAGCCCAAUUAAAGUAAAUUUGAGUCUACGAGGCCUAAUUGGGCCUCUAAGGGAAAGGUUGGGCCUGAUUUGUGGUUAAGUCCACUUUUCCUAGCCAAUUUGGCCUUCUGCCAAUUUAAUUGGGCCUGGUAUGGGCUUGAAUUGGGCUUUAAAUUUUGGUUUAAUUUAUAGUCUGGCUUGCCCAGACUUAGCCCAAUUUGAUUGGGCUCGGGUUUAGUCAAAUUUGGCUAAACCCUUUCCCUUUUUCUUUUUCUCUUUCUUUUUCUUUUUCUUUUUCUUUUUCUUUUUCUUUUUCUUUGGGCU